rnacentral:lncRNA from 1 species
UGACAAUUCCUGACCUCUCGCCUCCUGGACAGAGGAAGGGAAUCUUCCAUGGCAACAAAUCCCAGAAUUUAGCUUUAGAGCUAGAAAAAGCAGAGUCCAGACUCGUUUCCCUUCCAAGGGGUGUUACUGAAUGUGGAGGACUUCAGGACCUUGGGACGAAAGCCUGCAAAUUUGGAGACGUCUUCAUGGAGAAUUGAGCCCUCCUUGGCAUAGCAACAUUGAAGCCCUCAACAUUUGGGCCAGUAUGGGAAUGGCAGAUAGACUAAGGAGGCCCACAUAUUUGGACAUAUUUUUAACAAUCCCAUGAACACACUUGCCUGCUGCCAUGAAGCAAGUGGGUUUGAAGAGCCUGCACAGACCUGUUUUAUUCACUGCCAACCCAACGGAAAUCUGCUAAUAAGAAAAGUGGGGAACUGAAGUGCUGAUCUACAUUAGCCUAACCGAUAACAAACGACACAUCGCCAUUCAUUACUUCGGCCAUCAGAAUCAAGCAGAGUGCCUGAAAAUUGCUGUGCUGUGCACUCAGAAAUCCAGAAGGGCCCAGGAAAGCUCUUACAAUGGAUUGGCCUUACUUCCAAAUGAUACAUAGCUCAGAUGCCGAAUGCCUGGUGAUCCAGAGAGAGAGGUUCAGUUUAUAUCUGGUGGAGAUGUUGCCAAUACCCUCGUGCCACUUGUGGGUGACAUCAAGACUUUCGGUUCCAAACUAUUAACAUGAAACCAGGCAUAAUAUGUUGGGGAAACAAAGGGCCAUAGUGGCAGUGAAAUCUGU